AACAGUCUAUGUGGCAUCAAACAUUUAUUCUAGUGUCAAAAUUGACUAUAAAGUGUAAAUAGGACAAUUUUGGUCAUAAAGUCAGUCUCGUCUAAAAUGGAGUUUGGAACCUCACUGCGUUACAACAAAUCAAUUAAGAUUGGAUUACAAUUAUGUCAACAAAUCAUGCCCCUUUUGCCAAGCUCCACGUGCAAAUCACCCUUCCGCUCACUUUGCUUCCCUUCAUUGAAUGUGGGCUCUGUUGUUUCAUCACCCCUAACAAACGUGUUCAAAUAAUCGCUGCCGUUUGAGACUGAAAAGCCCUAUAAGGAUUGAUCAUGCAAUGCAUGCUUCCAGCAGGAUGCACAGCCAACAACUAUGGUUUGCAUGCCUUGCCGAAGGACCCUAUCAUGCGGAAUAGGUGGUUGGAGUUCGUUGGUCCCCAGUGGUGACAAAGUGCACAGUUGGGUGCCAGACUGAUCCUCUGGUCAAGAACGGAUGCUGGGACCUACCAGAAAGAGCAAAGCUUGUCAGGCAAGACCUCAGAAUAAAAGUGUAAUGCGACACAAGUACACCUUGUGACACCUCCUCCGUUGUUGCCAGAGUCUCCCACGACUCCUAUUAAAAGGACACGCCAUCAUGAGGCCUCUGAUAGUGAUCUGAGUUACUGCCCUGAUGACACAGACGGCUUCAUCAACAACGACAGGCCCUCCCAGUCAACACCACCUCAUAAGAUUGCCUGCUGCAGUUGUUGGAGAGAUGUCCAGUUUGCAGCCGAACAUGCAGCAUAGAGAAGACCAGCGAAGGGGCCCUCAUCAGCAUCAUGAAUGGAACAGUCAGCCACAUGUUGGCAAGUAUCCGACCAGCAACCUUCACCUGUCAGCGGCAACAGCUUUCACAGGCUCAUCAUUUGUACAAAUACAGAAGUAUCUUUGAUGAGGGGCCAGGAGGUGAUCUACGACUGCCAUGCCCAUCAAUGGGGCGCUGGCAAAGACCUUACCUCCAGCCUCACCUCUUGCCCGCUCACCAACAGUCGUCGAUGGGGAGACCAGAAUUAGAAACAUGUAUGGAGCCAGCACAUGGAGACUUGCAAGAUG